rnacentral:rRNA from 1 species
ACGAACGCUGGCGGCGUGGAUAAGACAUGCAAGUCGAACGAGAGAAUUGCUAGCUUGCUAAUAAUUCUCUAGUGGCGCACGGGUGAGUAACACGUGAGUAACCUGCCCCCGAGAGCGGGAUAGCCCUGGGAAACUGGGAUUAAUACCGCGUAGUAUCGAAAGAUUAAAGCAGCAAUGCGCUUGGGGAUGGGCUCGCGGCCUAUUAGUUAGUUGGUGAGGUAACGGCUCACCAAGGCGAUGACGGGUAGCCGGUCUGAGAGGAUGUCCGGCCACACUGGAACUGAGACACGGUCCAGACACCUACGGGUGGCAGCAGUCGAGAAUCAUUCACAAUGGGGGAAACCCUGAUGGUGCGACGCCGCGUGGGGGAAUGAAGGUCUUCGGAUUGUAAACCCCUGUCAUGUGGGAGCAAAUUAAAAAGAUAGUACCACAAGAGGAAGAGACGGCUAACUCUGUGCCAGCAGCCGCGGUAAUACAGAGGUCUCAAGCGUUGUUCGGAAUCACUGGGCGUAAAGCGUGCGUAGGCUGUUUCGUAAGUCGUGUGUGAAAGGCGCGGGCUCAACCCGCGGACGGCACAUGAUACUGCGAGACUAGAGUAAUGGAGGGGGAACCGGAAUUCUCGGUGUAGCAGUGAAAUGCGUAGAUAUCGAGAGGAACACUCGUGGCGAAGGCGGGUUCCUGGACAUUAACUGACGCUGAGGCACGAAGGCCAGGGGAGCGAAAGGGAUUAGAUACCCCUGUAGUCCUGGCAGUAAACGGUGCACGCUUGGUGUGCGGGGAAUCGACCCCCUGCGUGCCGGAGCUAACGCGUUAAGCGUGCCGCCUGGGGAGUACGGUCGCAAGAUUAAAACUCAAAGAAAUUGACGGGGACCCGCACAAGCGGUGGAGUAUGUGGCUUAAUUCGAUGCAACGCGAAGAACCUUACCUGGGCUUGACAUGUAAUGAACAACAUGUGAAAGCAUGCGACUCUUCGGAGGCGUUACACAGGUGCUGCAUGGCCGUCGUCAGCUCGUGUCGUGAGAUGUUUGGUUAAGUCCAGCAACGAGCGCAACCCCUGUUGCCAGUUACCAGCACGUGAAGGUGGGGACUCUGGCGAGACUGCCCAGAUCAACUGGGAGGAAGGUGGGGACGACGUCAGGUCAGUAUGGCCCUUAUGCCCAGGGCUGCACACGUACUACAAUGCCCAGUACAGAGGGGGCCGAAGCCGCGAGGCGGAGGAAAUCCUGAAAACUGGGCCCAGUUCGGACUGUAGGCUGCAACCCGCCUACACGAAGCCGGAAUCGCUAGUAAUGGCGCAUCAGCUACGGCGCCGUGAAUACGUUCCCGGGUCUUGUACACACCGCCCGUCACAUCAUGGAAGCCGGUCGCACCCGAAGUAUCUGAAGCCAACCGCAAGGAGGCAGGGUCCUAAGGUGAGACUGGUAACUGGGAUG